GGAUAUCUUUCAUUUUAAUAUUAAAUUUUUAAUAAUUUUUAAUAUAAAUAGAAAAGAAAGGAAGGAAAUAAUAAUGCGCACAGCCGGCCCUAAUUUUGCAAUUCGCAUUCCUCUUCUCAAAUCUCACAUCCGCCGGCCGCCAACCAUAUUUCCUUUUCUCUUCAUCAAAUCAAGUCGUCGUCGUCAUCACUUCGGCCAUUUUCUCUUCUCUGUGUUCAUUAUCAUCAUCAGUUGCUGUGUUCCUCUUCUCUGCACUGCUGCGACCACCAUUCCUUCUCAAUCGCUCAACUGUUGCAAAAUCGCCUGGAUUAGCUUCCACCUCUAAGCCCGCCUGUGCUUCUCGUUUGUCAUAUUCCAUGGUGGGGGCUGUCUUUGAUGGCAUUGCAUGGUGGAUUUGGGUGGGCCACGGUCUUUGAUGCCAUUACAAUUCAAAAUUAAUUGUAAUUUUCGUGCAUCCACUUCCUAUAUUAGGUUAUUAAUUUAUUGAAUUUUGUUGGUAGUAUUUGCAACGCCUUCAUAUUAAGAUCUAUCCUGUGUACCUGCCUGAAUUUCACGGAAAAAAAGGUUAAUCGGUUUUAAUUUGUGAUUGAAUUGUAGUUUCCAAUUUUUUUUUUCAUUUUUUAAUCAUAAUUCAAAAGACAAUCCGGGUUUCAAACCCGGAAUUCGGGACCCUUAAUUUUUCCGGGUUGAACCCGGACCGGACCCGCAUGUAAAAAAUCCGGAUUAUAUGUGGGUCCGGUAAAAAGAAAAUGACAUCCGGGUCCGGAACCAAGAAGACCGAACCCAGAACCGGACCCGGAUUUUGCCAUCCUACAUAUGGCUUCUUUUGUUUUUUGUUUUUUGUUUUUUUUAUUUGUUGGCUGCAUAUGGUGGGCUCCACCAUAUGCAGCCACUCGUGGCCUUUGGAUUUAAAUCCAAAUGCCACUAGCCUUUAUCCCGGAAACUGUUCCAAUCCGAGAGUCAGAUUGGAACAGUUCCCAUAUAUAUAAUUGUUGUUGCUUUCUGCUUUAUGCGGCCUUCAAAUGUGGAUGCCCACAAAAAACAAGGAUGCAUUUGGAAUUAUUUUUCAAUUUUUGUUUUCAUAAAAUAAAAAUGAAAAUGAAAUACUACUUUUAUAUUUAUUUUUAAAAUUUAAAAAUACGUUCGAUAUCAUUUUCAAAAAUAAUAUUAAAAACAAGAAAAAAGUAAAAUAUAUUUUGUAGGAAUAUUUUAAAGUAUUAUUAUUGGAAUAAUUUCCAUUAGCUAAAUAUUAAUUAAGUAGUAUUUAAUUAUUUUUAUUACUUAAAUAGUUUGAUUAUUUUAAUUUUAAGAAUAAAUUAGGUGAUGUUCACACACACACACACAUCAUAGAUUUUCUUUACUCAUGUCUAAUUAAAGAUUUCUAAUGACGCAUUAUACAAAGAGAUAAGUUUUUUUAAUUUUUUUUUGACAAAGUAAUCAAGAUUUUAUUCCAUCAACAUAAGAAAGUACAAAUAAUUUGAAAUAUUAAAUUUGAUUUUGACUUCCUCUCACCAAUUCAAUCUAAUUAUUAACAGCAAAGUAGACCGGCCUGUUUCUCAAAUUUGAUUUUCAUUAAAACAUCAGUGAUCAAUGUACAAUUAAAAUAAUGAUUCAUUAUUAGCAAAGAUUGAGUAAAUUAAUUAAUGUUUAUGUUAAAUGAAAAUCAAUCAUUUUAUUGAUAAACAAAGAUGGUGACUCGCUACAAUCAAUUACUUUUGUCCUACUUAUUUAAGACAAUCUGACGAUCAAAAUCGCAGGCAAGAAAAAGCUCAGGCCAAUUAAAGAAGUGAUAAUAGCAAGGCCUAAAGAAGGGGCUAACAUUGCAUAUGUGCCCGUAACAAAUGCAAUCACCAUUGCUGCCAUGGACCAUAAGGUGAACCAAAUGGAAGCGUGGAACAAAUCCUCAUUGAAAUCUUUAGUUUCUUCAGUUACAUAAGACAACCAGAAGUGAGUAACGACGGCAGAAAGAGAAAAGGCCAUGGCAAUGGAAUCUGCUACCAUAAAUAAUUGAAAAGCUUUAUUUCUCCUCAGGAUUGCAGUUCCAUUUUCGCUUCUAUAACCGCCAGGAAUGGUGAAAGCUGCUGCGAAGGCUACUGUUGCUAUGAGUGCAGCCACUACCAAAUGUGAUGCUCUUGUAUCCUUGUAAUUUUCUUUAUUAACAUACUUUUGCACUUCUCUUAUGAAUAUAACACCUUUUGAAUAUUGUCCUCUUCCAACUUCUUUGGAUAAUUUUUGGAUUUCUUCCUGUAAUUAAUUUACAUUUGAAUAUUAAUUAAUUGCGUAAAAAAAAUUAAAUUUAAUAAUUUAGUUGAAAGAACAAAUUAAAUAAUUACCUUGAGCUCAGGAUAGCCAUAAUUAAAAAUGUGUCUGACACUAACAUUUUGUUUGUUGACAGCGUCAUAGUUGGCUUGAGUACUCCUAUUCAUAACAUCAUGGAAUUCAGUUGGACGGACUGCAGCAAGCACAUGGAGAGGAGUGUUUCCCUCGGCAUCCCCCUCAUCUAUAAGACUCCUCGCUAACGGAUUAUUUUCAAGAAGAUUUCUUAGUUGUCCAACAUGAAAACUAACCAUAGCAUAAUGGAGAAAAUUCCAUUCCUUGUUAUCGACCAGCUCGUAACAUUCUGGAUUUUUAGAAAUAAUUGCUUCAACUAUUUUGGCAUGCCCUUGGCCCGCUGCCAAAUGAAGAGCUGUCAUCUUUCCAUCUUUGUCAGCAAUGUUCGAAGCGGAUUGAUCAGUUUCUAAUAACAAAUUUAUCGUCCUGUAAUUUCCAUGAUAUGCAACGUAAUGAAUUGGAGUCCACCCAUAUUGAUCUGUUUCUUUGAUCAGAUUCUUCUUUUUCUCAAGUAAUUUUCGUAAUGCAGUACCAACUGAGAAUACAGAAGAUAAAUAAAAUAAUAAUUAAAUUUUUUAAUAAAAGUAAAUAUCUAGAAAUGGCCUAAAUUUGGGGGCUAUUUAUGUUGGAGAUAUGAGAAAAAAAAUAGCUUUUUUAAAUUACAAAUCAGCCAGAAGUCUAGAACAACAAUGCCAACACCAAUCACACGAUGAGUGAUGAAUAAUGGCUUCAGAUCGGUAACUUUGUUAUUUAACAAAAUAAAAACUUGCAAUUAUUUCCCUGAUUUUGCAUCUAGAAAUAACAAUUUUUGCAAAAUUCACUAAGACACGUUUGAAGCACUAUUCUAAAGACCAAUUCGGUGAAUCUAAUUAUCCUAAAACCAACUUUCCCUAUCUUAGUUAUCCAAAAGACCAAUUUUCAGUACAUUUACAAUUCUAAAGACUAGUUUUUUUAGGAAGAUUUCACAGUAGAAAAAUUAACUCCUUCAUAACAACGCUUAAUUUCUUCAUAAAUUGAGAGUAUUUUUGUCAUUAUUCAGAAAAUUAUAUCUGACAAUUUAUCCUGAUUAAAUUGAUGGCAAUUAAUAAUUUAUUAAUGAAUUAAAAGGGUGUAUUUACUUGAACAUUAUGGAAAGAAUCUAUUAAUAGAAAGAUAUCAAUAUUGAAAUUCCUACUGAAAGGGUAUAACUAAACUUACCGAAAGGAAAUUCCAUUGCUGCAGCAUGUAAAGCCGUCUUUCUGUUGGGGCCUUCAUGAGACACUGAUGUGCUGUUUACAAAUAAGGCAAGCACCAUAUUAGAAGACCGAUAAUCAGCAGCCAUGUAGAGUGGCGUUUUGCCGUAAUUAUUUGCAGAAUAUUGAUAAUCAGGGUCUUCUUUCGUCAGUAAUUCCACCACAUCGACGUUUUGGUGACACACUGCCUCGUGGAGUGCUGUAUUCUUCUCAUUAUUUGUCAUCCUAAUCAUCUGCCUGGCAGCUCCUACCCUGCUCUCUAGCUCUUCAUUUUCAUGUUGAGGUAGUUUUGCUCUUUCCACAAGAACCCUCACUAUAUCAGAAUGGCCAAAUUUUGCCGCAACGUGAAGUGGAGUAUCGCCUUUGGCAUUAACUUGUAGUAGCAGCGAUGGGCAUUUCUCAAGUAUUUCUGCUACAAACUUCGUUGACACGUUUUCUCUUUCUUGGGAUAUGAUAUUGAUAUGCAGGAUUGUGUUUUUGGUCUUUGCUGUUAACAAUCUCUCAAUUACCUCUCUUGCCAUAUCUUUGAAGGGCUCCAAAUUUCCCGCAGCUGCGGCUUUGAACAAAUUUGGGUCUAUUUGCGACUGACUGAUCUCGCCAUUGUUGUCCAAUAAUGAAGCUUCCUCAAUCUCAUUGGAAACAGAAUUCAUGUCGGCGAAGUUGAUCUAUUAGAUAAGGGUACCCAGUAUCUCGGAGGUACUCAUAGAUCUUCCUCUAAACCUUACAUGUAUGUAUAUAUGACUUGAAAAGUGUAGUAUUUUUCACACGUCUUAAAUUCUUGCUUUUUUGACAGGGUAACGACACCGAAAAAAUACGGGUCGGGCCAAUCCGGAUGAGAGUGGAGGCUGUUCCGGGCCAAGCCAAAUUAAUAUGGCGAUUUGCUCAAAUCCAAUGAGAGGUAGCCAGGUGGAAGAAGUAGGUGUGGGAGCAUUAAAUGGAGAGAGAUUGCAGAAGAUCGACUGUAGCAAGAUAGCAGGUGAAACAGAGAUGAAGCAGAUGCAUAGGGAAGAGAGCAUUGUGGAUAGGGAUGGCAGAAUAAUCCGGACCCGGACGAAUCAGGAUAAUCCGGUCCGGGUUGAAUCCGUAUUGCAGUUAUAUAAAAUACGGAUCCAGAUUUAAUUUUAUGAACCCGGAUGAUAUCCGGUUCGGGUCAGGGUUUAGGUGAACCCGCAUAUCCGAAACCCGGACCCGGAUAUCUUUCAUUUUAAUAUUAAAUUUUUAAUAAUUUUUAAUAUAAAUAGAAAAGAAAGGAAGGAAAUAAUAAUGCGCACAGCCGGCCCUAAUUUUGCAAUUCGCAUUCCUCUUCUCAAAUCUCACAUCCGCCGGCCGCCAACCAUAUUUCCUUUUCUCUUCAUCAAAUCAAGUCGUCGUCGUCAUCACUUCGGCCAUUUUCUCUUCUCUGUGUUCAUUAUCAUCAUCAGUUGCUGUGUUCCUCUUCUCUGCACUGCUGCGACCACCAUUCAUUCUCAAUCGUUCAACUCUUGCAAAAUCGCCUGGAUUAGCUUCCACCUCUAAGCCCGCCUGUGCUUCUCGUUUGUCAUAUUCCAUGGUGGGGGCUGUCUUUGAUGGCAUUGCAUGGUGGAUUUGGGUGGGCCACGGUCUUUGAUGCCAUUACAAUUCAAAAUUAAUUGUAAUUUUCGUGCAUCCACUUCCUAUAUUAGGUUAUUAAUUUAUUGAAUUUUGUUGGUAGUAUUUGCAACGCCUUCAUAUUAAGAUCUAUCCUGUGUACCUGCCUGAAUUUCACGGAAAAAAAGGUUAAUCGGUUUUAAUUUGUGAUUGAAUUGUAGUUUCCAAUUUUUUUUUUCAUUUUUUAAUCAUAAUUCAAAAGACAAUCCGGGUUUCAAACCCGGAAUUCGGGACCCUUAAUUUUUCCGGGUUGAACCCGGACCGGACCCGCAUGUAAAAAAUCCGGGUUAUAUGCGGGUCCGGUAAAAAGAAAAUGACAUCCGGGUUCGGAACCGGGAAGGCCGAACCCGGAACCGGACCCGGAUUUUGCCAUCCCUAAUUGUGGAGGGAAAAAUGAAAGGAAAAAAGCGGGAAAACAAGUUGAUAGCAGCACAGGAUAUUAUGGGCUCAAUGGGCCGAGUAGAAAAUAUUGAAGAAAGAAACAAAGAGGGCCAACAACAGGGAAGUAUUAUCGGAAACGAAAAAGAGACAAACAGACAGUUAAAAGUAUCGAC
rnacentral:lncRNA from 1 species